AACAAUUCUUUAUCUUGUGAUAAAAAAAAGUCUUAGAAAUUAUGACUUCAAGUUCAUCCAGUACGGAGCAUGACCUGCUCCUCUUGACCUACAGUGGCUUUGCUUUGGUCUGUGCUAAGGCUAUCCCUAUCUUCCAUGAUCUGUAAGAAGGGUCUCUCCCAGCUGCACCCCAUUUCCCACAUGCUUCCUUUUCCCUAAAUCAGACACUCCUAACUACUCCAACUGCAAAAGUAGAAAAGCGGAAGAGCAGGAGCACUUUUGAGCCAGGGUAAAGUGCUUGGGAAAAGAGAUGUAAGUGCAGUGGGGGUUUAUAUAAUUAGCAAAUUCUUUUUCUUUAGAAGCCAACAUGAGUGUAUUUCAGUUAUUUACCAAUAGUGGCCUCAGAGGAGCUGUCUUUUGGAAAAUAAGUUUUCAUUCAUGUAGUUAGACAUGCACGAUUUGUUUGAGUCCUUAAACUGUGGACCGGUAAUGGGAUGCUUAACUGAAUACACAUUUUCUAGUUCUCUUUUGAUGCUGUUCUUGGUCUCCUAGAUUCAUACCUCAUGAUCUCUGUGGCUUUUGCUUCUGCUCUUCCCUGAAGCAAAUGAGAUUAUGGGAGGCCCAUCUUUGCAAGAAAGACUAUAAGCAAUGGCAACAGAUGGGAGUGAAUUACUACUGGCCCAGGAACCAUGACAGCAGAAGGCCCAUCUGGAGUGAACUUGGAGAGAGUUUGGAAAGAUAAAGCAAACCAAGAUGCUUAUUUUGUGAAAGAGAAGACUCCUCAGUAGCCAGCUAGCUAAAGAUGGUGCUGAUUCUCAAGUUGGAAGUUUCUCUCCCUAACCCUCCCCUGAGCUCCCUCAUCUUUUCUUUGGGUAGGCCUAUCUGCUGCAUAUUCCCAGGAAUCACUUUUUUGCACCGAGUGCUCUCUGAUGAGCCUCUCCUCCCUCCCAGGGGCAGCUUGGGGAAGGGGUGGCUGUUCAGUGGAAUGAGCCACCUGCACUUGUGAUUAUUCUGAGACCCAACUCAGAGGGGUGGGGAAGGCGCACAAACCCUAUUUCAAUAAACUGCCUGCAGAGCACCGCAGCCUGCUAAUAGUCAUUGAGGCCUCAGCCCCCUAAGGUCUCCAAGCUCAUUUGACCAGCGCAGCUGCGACUUCGGCUGUCUGCCUAUGGCAGGUGCCAAUAUCAGCAUCUUGUCCCACUGCCACAGGGAGUUUAUUUUUGCUCAAGGGCAGCUGCCAAGCCCAGCACCAGCAUCAAUAGAAGGUUUUCUCUGAUUUUCUUCUCUUCUUCACAGGCCAGAGACCACAUCCUCUUCCUCAGUCCUGACACCUCUCCCUACUCACCAGUCUUCCCUUGCAGAAAGCAUGACCCAUAGCAGGUAUUUUAAAAAUAGUGGUUGCAUAAAAAAUGUUAGGACAUAGAAGGGCUUCAUUCUGUCACACAGUGGUGAGAACCAGUCAUUUGCAUAGUUAUGCUGACAUUGAGCUGUUUUGACACUGAGUUUGUCCUCCUGAGAUAUUGAAGUUGACCUGGGAAAAGAGGUCCAAUUGUAGCAAUGUUAAGUCUGCCCAUCGUGUUCCCUACUAAGAGAUGAAAAGUUAGCUCUUGACCUUGGAGGAGCUGAGUGUCCUAGCAGCUCACCAUAUCUGGCAGACCAGUGAGUCUGCAGAGAUAUUAAUCUGCCUCAAGCAUUGGGUGCUAGCUAGAAAGCUGGACCACUCUACCAGUCCCAGACCACUCCCAGGGAUGACAUCCUGAGCAGCAAAGUCCAGUGUGUAUCAGUUCAGCACAUUUGUUGAUCAAGUUCUCUGGCUAGAUGAACCAUCAUUUGUAACUGAAGCUUUCCCCAUACAUAUCUUAAGAUAAUUCUAAAAAAUCUUGGGCUCACCCCCCAUCUUUUCCAAAUUGGCAGAAUCCAUCAGUUUGACAUUCUCUUUAUAAUAGUUCACGAACCUGUUUUCCAGAUCAUUCUCCAGAGGUCAGUCCCAGUUCCCAUGGGUAAAACAGCAGAGCCAGCUCACCUGUGAGGGAGAAUGCAGCUCCACCACCCGGCCUGCACCAGAUGCCCAGGAGCUGCAUAGGCACACCAGUGGGACUGUGACAGCUGUUAGGGCCCAGCCACAGUAUAGGUGGAAAUGGGGGACACCAGAGCUGCUUUAGCCAAGGAGAGCAGAUAGCAAGGCUCAUUUAAAGAGCAAAACUCUGUGCACAAGGACCACUGAUGCCCACCAGACGUCACAGAAAUUCUAAGACGAGAGUAAUGUGGGAUGAAGAAUUAGGAAAUCCAAUGGGUGCAUUGGAAAUCCAGGGUGUUUAGAAGUCAAAAAGGUCAGUCACUAGAGGUCAGGCCAGGGUGACUGUUGCAGGAACAGGUGAAGGUACUCUGGGCUUUCUAGCAUACUGUCACAUAAGGCACCGUCAAUAAAAUUCGCUCUUUCUUUUUUUUUUCCCCAUGAGAAAAUUUAUUUUAACCUUUUUUUAUUAGUACACAAUUUUGUACAGGGGGUUUUGUUGUGACAUUUCCAUGUAUGGGUAUAAUGUACCAGGAUUGGUUUCAUCUUCACCAUUAUUCUCCCUCAUUCCCCUCCCCGCUUCUUAAAAUGACUGACAGGUUUCACUGUUCCAUCUUCAUACACGAGAGAAAGGGCACCACCCAUACUCAGUCUACUCUCUUCACGUAUCCUUCCUGUCCCACUGGUACCCUCCCUCACCAUGACCUGUUUCACAUUCCUGUCCUUCAUUGCUUAAGUGUUUGCUCCUUGUUCAAAGAGGUUUGCCAUGGUAUUUUAUAAAAUUCGCUCUUUCUCCUCUCUCUCUGUCACAACUGCCACAGGGUAGUGUGAUCCAGCAUUAUCUGCCUGGCGUGCAAAGCAUGCUGGAUCUGGAAUUUGGGGUUUGAUUGUUUAGCUUUAGCUGAAGGCAUUUCUGCAAAGUGGGAAAAAAAAAAAAA